UUACUAAUGUAUGAUCAAUUUGGUUGUGGAUUAUUCUUAUAAAACUUGAAAAUGCCUCAAUUUUAGAAUACACUUUAAGCUUCCAAAGGGGCUGGGCCGAGGUUUUUUUUUUUUUUUUUUUUUUUUUUGAGAAAUUGUAAUUUUAGUAGAGAAUGAUGUUCUCUUUUGAUGGAUCAAUACAAGUCUCUUGAUUGCUGAUAGUGCCACCAACCAUGACUUCAAUUUAUGUUUAAUACUUCACUUUAUGCAACAAGGGAUUCAUAACGCGUGCUCUGUGUUUAUUGUAGUAAUGUAAUUAUUGGGUUCUAUAUGUUUGUUAUCAUUUUGGCAUGAGAAACGAGCUUACAUGUUGGACGAGUGCAGCUUUGUGAUUUUAUUCUUGAACAUCCUGCUAUUUCUCGAUUUCAUGCUGGUAAGCUUCGGCUUUCAUUCCCCUUUUAAGAACCAAUAUAUAUUUUUUUACCCAAAACAUUUGCAGCCCUUAUUGGCCUUAUCUUUACUACUUGCACACCGUAUAUAAUGCCUUUCACUUUUAGUUAAAUAAUGUUCCAGGUUGCGCCUAAGACAUUAGAAACAAGCUUAUAGUCAGCAUCUGCCGUUCUUCCGCAAGUAAGUGAUUAGUUGAGUGACCAAAUAUGUUCGGUUGGUAUCACUUGAAUGCAAAAAUAGCCAAUCGGGGUUUUUUUAUCAACCAACUGAUACUUUUUCGUUCCUUAAACUGGGUUUUAGGAUUGUAGAUGAAAGAGCAUUUGUUUUUUCAUUCAGAUUUGAAAAACUUAGAGAUAAAUUAAAGGUGCCAAACGCUUUUGGGUCCUUUUAACCUGUUCGACCCACUGGACCAGUUUCCCAUUUAGCUUAAUCUUUUGUUAAUUUGAUCUCUUAAGACAAACCAUAACCAAGUUGACCCGUUCACAAAUAAAUAUGCUGAAAUUGCCGCCUUUGACUAAGAUUUAUACAAUGUGUUAUAAAGCCUUAAGUAAGUGACUUUCUAUCUCUUAGCCUUCUAAGUGGUUCAUUUAAAAUAAUAAACUAUCAAAUAUAUAUAUAUCUUAUUAUAUAUAGUAUACAUACACAUGAGAAUUAGAAGUCUGACUCUACUUUUAGUAUGUUCUAUCAUUGUUAAAUUUUAGGUCUGGUAUACAAAUGGAAAGAGCUAGCGUAGAAGAUAGCAAUGUCAAUUUAGAUUUAGAGAGAAGCAAUGUACUUUUAAUGGUCCCAAGUGGCUCAGGUAUGACUCAUGAGGCUAUUCAACUGUUUUACUUAUUCUUCUUUCUUUCUUUGCAUAUCAGAUACUCUUAAGUUGCUAGCGUAGAAGAUCAUUUAAUGUUUAGUCACAAAUGUCAUGUGUCAUUGUGGCGUACUCUCACAUUUAAUUAGGCAUAUUUGGUGAGAUUUGUCUAAUAAUUAUAUCAGAUAUACACAUAUAUAAUAUUAAACGAAAAGGAUGAGGGAAUAUUUUUAUGGCACAAGUGGGUUCCUUUAUACCGAUUGGUGUGAAUAUUCUUAUGGCACAAGCGGGUUUCUUUGCUCCUUCUGACAAAGCUAUCAUUUUUAUCCGUAAUUGCAUUUUUGCUCGUGCUGGUGUUGGUGCUGGUGUCGGUGCCACUGAUAAGUCAUUAUAUAUUAUCCAUGAGUUGUGCAGUGGCAUAUAAAGUUGUGAUGGCUUAGCAUACUGCAUGUUGGAGCGUUUGAAUGAAAGUUAUUGGAAACUAUGGAGCGUCGACAUUGGCUAUAUCGGUGAAAUUCGUCGAAGGAUAGCCCCGGUGAAACCGAAAGCUUAGAAGGAUCAAUCAGGUUUUGUACUCUCAUUUUGAUGAUUAAGCAUUUUUAGUUCAACAGUCAGGUCUCAUUAAGAUGUUGAACACUGUCGUUCAUACAACGGGGAGCAUAAUUAUGAAGGAGAAAAAAUAAUAACCAUGCAAAAUAAUAUAUGGUUUGGAACUGUGGAACGUAUAUGGAAAAGUUUUCGGGUAUCCGAGCUAUUAUGCUACAGGGUAUGAGUAAUGGUACUCUUGAUAUCACUCUUAACCAAUGGGGGCAUAAGGUAUGUAUAUUUGUAUACACAUGCUUUUCUAUAUGUUAUACAUGUAAAAUAAGAAGAAACUUAUAAUUAAGCGUUUGUACUAAACUUACCAUAUAUUUAGGUUGGCAUUGAAGGAGAAUUCCUUCGUUUAGUUAUGUUGAUCUGUACAAGAGUGUUAGGGAAAUUAUGCAGCCUAUUAGUAACUAUAAUGAUGUGAAUAUAUUAACGAAAGUUAGCACCAGGUUAAAUAAUGCGGUUACAAGCACAACUCUGAGAUGCUUGAUACAAUGAUGAGUCUUAAUCUUGACGAGAACAAUGGAGGUAGCUACUAAAUAUUGAAAUAAAAAGUUAUAUGAUUUCAUUGAGUGUGAUGUGUUUGAAACUGAUGGAUAGCUUUGUUUUAAAGGGAGAAAAUAAUACAACCAACCAGGUUCGCUUCUAAUCAUUCCCCAUAAACUGACCUUACUAUAAAAAUAACAACUUUUCACAUGUAUAUACCUAACACGUUUUGAGUAAAAGUGGAAGACCUUUUGUGUUAACAUCUUUUGUGAAGAAAAGUUUUCAGUUGGUGGUGGUGAGUAAAGAUUAUACGUACUCCCUCCGUCCCAUAUUAAUUGUCCAAUUUUGAAUUACCAAGUCUUUUUCUUUCAACUUUGACCGUAGAUUUUUUUUGUGUGUGUUACGUAACACUUGAUAUAAAAUAUAUGAAUGAAUUGGAUUUACGGUGGUAAGAUUGUAUUCCUUUAAAGGAAAGGGAUUAUUACAUUUAUCUCUAAGAUAUUUACGGUCAAAAUUGAAAGAAAAAGACUUGAAAAGUCAAAAUUGGACACUUAAUAUGGGACGGAGGGAGUACUACGAAAUCGUUAAUUUAAAUGUAAUUUAGGAAAUUCAAACACAUUUUUCAUUAAAAAAUAUUUUUUACCACAUGAAAAUAAAAUAUAUAUAUUCAAAUUAUUUUUUUAGAACAAUGAUUUUUGUCAGUUUCCUGUGUGUCUAUUGAUGAUGAUCCAGAUUUCCUUUAUUUCACUUUUUGUUGUUAGCCACUGUACGCUACGACGAUGCUACAUACUCCGACGCGUGAACUAUCUAAGGUUGCAAAUUGGAGAACAAUGACGCCUUUGGUGGUGUCGGUUUGGUCAAAGGAUGGGCGGUGGUGUUGAUAUCGGUGGGAGCAUCCGUCAACUCCAGCGACUAUAGGGUUCCAUGAAGGGCUUUGAUGGUGUAUAGAUAACUGGUUUUUUAUAUGUAAUAUACCGAGUUUAAAAGAUUUGCGAUUUAUAGAUAACUGGUGAAACGGUCGGUAAAGAGAAAGUAGUGGCAGAAUGCACGAUAGAAAAGCUGAGAUGGCUCGCCAAGCUGACGCCUUUAUUGCUCUUUUGGGUGGUUAUGACACUCUUGAAGAACUGUUGGAAGUCAUCACAUGAGCUAAGCUAAAAAUUCCAUCAUAAACCUCUAAUAACACCGAAGAAAAGAGGGAAUCUGCCUUAAAGGAAGAGUGGAGAGACGACGAUGCAUUGAUUUAUAAUAAUACAGUGCAGAUAUGGGAUUGUGAAGGUUAUGGCCCCGAAUAAUUACAUCGAGUUCAUUAACGAUCUUACAUCAUUCGUCAACAACGAGUUUAUCUCAAUGGACCGUAUUGAUGAUGCAGUGACCAGAAUCUUACGCGUCAAAUUUACCAUGGGCCUGUUUGAGAACCCUCUUGCCGAUUACAGUAUGGUUAACGAGGUUGGAAGCCAGGCACACAGAGAAAUAGCAAGGGAGGCAGUGAGGAAAUCAUUGGUGUUGCUGAAAUCAUGUUUGUUAGCUGUUUUAUAGAAGACUAGGAGUUCAUAUUUUAUGUUAUUCGUAAGCCAAUAUUGAAAUCCAAUGUAAUGUGAUUGUGCAUAUCAAAAUAUAUCGUGUUUGUGUGUUUCAAAAGU